rnacentral:rRNA from 1 species
GACGAACGCUGGCGGCGUGCUUAACACAUGCAAGUCGAACGGAAAGGCCCUGCUUUUGUGGGGUGCUCGAGUGGCGAACGGGUGAGUAACACGUGAGUAACCUGCCCUUGACUGUGGGAUAACUUCAGGAAACUGGGGCUAAUACCGGAUAGGAGCUCCUGCUGCAUGGUGGGGGUGGGAAAGUUUCGGCGGUUGGGGAUGGACUCGCGGCUUAUCAGCUUGAUGGUGGGGUAGUGGCUUACCAAGGCUUUGACGGGUAGCCGGCCUGAGAGGGUGACCGGCCACAUUGGGACUGAGCUACGACCCAGACUCCUACGGGAGGCAGCAGAGGGGAAUAUUGCACAAUGGGCGGAAGCCUGAUGCAGCAACGCCGCGUGCGGGAUGACGGCAUUCGCGUUGUAAACCGCUUUCGCCUGUGACGAAGCGUGAGUGACGGUAAUGGGUAAAGAAGCACCGGCUAACUACGUG